rnacentral:rRNA from 1 species
AGCGAACGCUGGCGGCAUGCUUAACACAUGCAAGUCGCACGGGCAGCAAUGUCAGUGGCGGACGGGUGAGUAACGCGUAGGAACGUGUCCUGAGGUGGGGGACAACCCCGGGAAACUGGGGCUAAUACCGCAUAUGGGCUGAGGCCCAAAGCCGAGAGGCGCCUUUGGAGCGGCCUGCGUCCGAUUAGGUAGUUGGUGGGGUAAAGGCCUACCAAGCCUGCGAUCGGUAGCUGGUCUGGGAGGACGACCAGCCCAACUGGGACUGAGACACGGCCCAGACCCCAAGGGGGGGACGCAGGGGGGAAAAUUGGACAAGGGGCGAAAGCCUGACCCAGCAAUGCCGGGGGGGGGAAAAAGGUUUUCGGAUCGUAAAGCCCUUUCGACGGGGACGAUGAUGACGGGACCCGUAGAAAAAGCCCCGGCUACCUUCGG